ensembl:lncRNA
CUUAUGGUUUUGAAGUAACUAGCUAAUUAUCAAACACAUCUUAUAGUUUUGAAGUAACUAGCUAUCAUCAAAACAUCUUAUAGUUUUGAAGUAACUAGCUAAUUAUCAAACACAUCUUAUAGUUUUGAAGUAACUAGCUAAUCAUCAAAACAUCUUAUGUUUUUGAAGUAACUAGCUAAUUAUCAAACACAUCUUAUAGUUUUGAAGUAACUAGCUAAUUAUCAAACACAUCUUAUGGUUUUGAAGUAACUAGCUAAUCAUCAAAAACAUCUUAUAGUUUUGAAGUAACUAGCUAAUUAUCAAACAUCUUAUAGUUUUGAAGUAACUAGCUAAUUAUCAAAACAUCUUAUGGUUUUGAAGUAACUAGCUAAUUAUCAAAACAUCUUAUGGUUUUGAAGUAACUAGCUAAUUAUCAAAACAUCUUAUGGUUUUGAAGUAACUAGCUAAUCAUCAAAAACAUCUUAUAGUUUUGAAGUAACUAGCUAAUUAUCAAAACAUCUUAUGGUUUUGAAGUAACUAGCUAAUUAUCAAAACAUCUUAUAGUUUUGAAGUAACUAGCUAUUUAUCAAAACAUCUUAUAGUUUUGAAGUAACUAG